ACGUCUUGAAAAUGUACAAAUAACUAGAUGGUUUAAAAAAUGUUAUCAGAACUGUCUUUACUGCUAACAAGGUCUAAAUGAAACCGUGGCCAUAGAUAAUGUUUGUUUCUUGCCUUGUGACUGUCCUGACAGGGGGUUGUCCAGUCGGGGAGUAGAUGAAGCUUAGCAUUCACAGGCCUUGGGAGCCAUGGAUGGAGAGACUCCAGCUGUCUGCCAACCAGAACCUGGCAGAUCUUUGGCAAGGUGGUUGACAACUCUUACCCGGAGACAAUCGGGAAGUCUUGGGGAGAAGAGGCAUGAAGGUUGGAACCCAUGGAUGAUCAUGGCAGACGGGUGAUCAUAGGAAAAAUCAACUUGACCUCUGAAAGCCCUACUUGAGUGUGGUACAAAACCGGUAUCGAGGGAGAGCCUGACACCGAUGAUGAUUUCCUGAGGUGACCUUGUCUUCCUCAGCUUACCUGAUUAAGCGCAGAGCUCGAGUGAGCCUUGAAUUUGAAUCUCUCCAUCGCCACCUGUUACCUAUGGCCCUGGGGCCACACAUGUGCUGCUCUUUGACUGCCAUCUUUCGCAUUUGUAAAACUGGGCGGAUCUUCCUUCCUACUGCGAACCGUCUCCCAGAACCCUGGAUGAGCAGAAGCAUGAAGGGCAAGAGGUAGCCUGUGACCCUCCAGCCUCCUUAUUCCCUUGCAGCUUGCUUUCCUGGGACCUUCCACGAGGUGCUCUGCACAAGGACAAGGGACCCAUCCAGGAAUAAGACUGUGCCCAGUGGGGGAGAGCUGGCUGUGUCCUCUGAGGACACGCAUGGAAGCAUGAGCAAGACAAAGAACCUGUGCUCAGAUCCCAGUGAACUCGUCCGCUUCUCCUUGAACUUUUUGCAGUAUCAUCUGUGCUGGAAAUGAUCAUUUAAAGCCACAGUCUAGCAUAAUGUUUACAUCCCGAGGGUUGGAACUGGAGUCAUUAAGUCUUUCAAACAACAAGGUAAUGUUCAACGACUGCUUUUCUAGGAGGGGGCGUCAUUUAGCACACUGCAGGGUGCUGAUGCAAGCUUGCAUCCUGGGAACCUGAAAGCCUUGGUACCUCUUCUUUGACCUAGGGUUCACCUUGUCUUCUCAGGAGUAGCGUGGGAGUGUGAUCUCCUCAUUUUCUUAAGUUACAUAGCUAAAUUUUCUUUGACGUGUGUCAGUGGGAAGAAUACAGGCUCUGGGAUAAGGUAGACCCGGGUAUGUGUUGUAGCCAUAUUACUUCCUAGCCGUGUGACCUUGAACAAGUUGUUUCCUUUCUCUUGAUCUCCUUUCCCUUUCUUCACCUAAGUGAUGGAGUUAUCAAACUUCUCUUACCUCUAAGUGAUGGAGUUAUCAAACUUCUCUUACGCUUGAUACAUUGAAAUAGUAGAUGUAAGGCAUCACGCCGGUCCAACCUGGACAGGCAAAAAGCGUGCUUUCUGGUAUAGCUUGCAUCCUACCCCUCUCUGUGGACAUAUUAAUUCUCCUUCGCACAACUCACAGGUGUUUACAUUGAAAUGAACAUUCUCUUCCACAAGCCCAGAGCUGUGAGGAUUUUGUGUUUCUCCAGUUGGCUGAGUGAGGUAGAGGGCAAAGAAAAUUACGUGAUUUUAAUAACCAGUAGCACUCAUGUCUUCAUGGCAAUCUUCUCGUAACCAGAUAACUUCCUUCUAGCUGCAUGUGUGAGCUAAAUUUACCUAGUCAGCGAAGAAGUGAGAACGAAAUGAAAUGGGAAGAAAGCCUGCCUCUAGAUAUUGAAUAUCCUUUCCUGGGAGAGACUUAAACAAAAAUUAAAAACGUAAAGUCUUCAUUUUGAGGGAUUUCACCACAGCUGAUAUUCAGAAUCAUACUGAUAGACCUCCAUUAAACAUCAACCAGUCUAGAAAGCCCUUAUCCAACAUGAUUGCCUAAUAACUAAAUGAAAGAAACCAGAUGAAGAUCACUUCAUUUUGAUGAAGAUACCCACGCUAAUUAAAGAUGAGUUUGAAGCAAAGAGGAGUGAGUCUUAACCCCUUUCCCCAUUUUUCAGAGCCUCUGUGAAUGCCACGAAUGAAGAGGUUUUAACAACAUAUUGGUUUUUUUUAAACAGUCUCGUACUUGGAUAUAGCUGUUCUUGGAAAUAGCCAUAGCUUGGUAAACAGGUUCGUUCACUUGUUUAAUGCCCCGAUCUGUACUCCUGGUUACUGCCUUCUCUUGAACUUCUUUCAGCUUGCUCUACUCCGUUGUCAUCCUUAUAUAUGCAGAAUGUCCUCAUUCAGCCAAUUCAUGUUGAAAUUGAAACUUUUCAAGAUAGUUUUGUUUAAUCAUCAUUCCUGCACAUACCCUCUUCUAACCGUUAUGUAAUCUUGGGCUAGAACAGUGA